GCCUCCGCCUUCUCCCUCUCGCCCAGAGCAGGGCGGCCGGCGCGCCCCCCCUCUUCUCCCCACCCGACGCUGGUGCCGGCCGCCCGAGCACCUCCCCGUCCGCCCGCGCCUCGAGCCGCCGCCGGUGCUCCUCCUGUCGCCCUCCCCGCUCACCUCCGGCGCAGCUCGUUGUAGUGAAGAGCUAUUAUUUGGCGGCGGCAAGGAGAAGGGCGCCGAGGAGGUGACGCCGGCCGGCGUCGUGCCUCCCUGCAUCGUCGCCUCCGACCUCACCAUGUAGCUCCUGUGACGAGUAAUGGGGAUGGAAAAUUAUCAACAAUGGGGUGUGCAUUCGCUGCUGUUACGGUGUUUUCUUUGACGCUGCCGCUCCUGGAGCACCAGCUCGAUUUUUUCUCAUACUGCUGUUCCCCGAGCACCAGCACAAGGCGAAAUUUUUGCAGGCCGUCUUGUUGAACACCCGCAGGUGAGCGCUCAGGCCUGGGUUUGUAUUGUUCUCGGCUUGAGUAUAUGGGACUCGAACUGUGAUGGAUAUCAUGUGAGGAAAGAAGGUUUAGUAUGCAAUUAUGGUGUACACCAGAGAAACAUGUGUGUUUUUCCCUAUGAAGACAUCUACUUCUUCAGAUAAUUGAUGUUUCUGUACUAACCAUCAUCAAAUAAGGUGAGAGUACUUUAGGGUUGAGUAAAUGUUUCAGUUGGAUGUUGAAUUACCCCAUCAAGAGAAGCUGAACAAAGAAGAGUGUUGUGGUGUUGGCAAAGUCAAAUUUCGCGGCGCCUGCUUCAAACCACACUGGCACCUCUACAGCCAUUUUUGGGAAAUCAAGCGUCCGCACUAUGGUUUCUAUAAAACUGAGAGGAUAUUCAUUUCACCGGCGCUGGCAAGGAGGUCAAGAAGGGAGCAACUUCCAUUGGUUCCAAGGAUGCCGGCGACCCCUGCCAUGGCAAACCGGCAGUGGACGAGCUCGGCCUGGACGUACCACUUCAAGGCCUCAGGCUGCUCCCCGAGCCCCAAGGGACCAAACCCGUAAUCGCCAGGCAGCCUGCAUCCAGAAGCGCCAAGCUAUCCAUCAGCCUAACAACGAACCAUCGCCGCCUGCAGAGAACACCGGCAGAGGUUGCCACAGUUGACUGACGUGCCGUCGAGGUACGCCGGUAGGUCCAGCCCAGACAGCCAUGUCGCGCGCUCCGCGGUGGCUCGGACGGCGAACCGGGCUCGUGACGACUGAACAUUGUGUCCAGGCAUGGUGGUCGUGCUCCUGCUGAAAGGUGUGGGUGGCCUGGAGGAGAGGGUGCAGACUCUUCCAUGGGUGUUAGCUGCUAACGCCAUGGCCGCCGCCGUCGGAUUUGGCUGGUUGAUCCCUUGCUCGCCUGACCGCAGCUGGCGAGGGUCCUUCUUGGCUGCAGCUGUUUUGGUUGGGGCGUGUGGGUGGUGCGUCGGACGGGUCAAAAAGCUGUGGAUAUGGAACUAGAGGCGUUCGCACUUCGUAGCUCCAGUGGCUGUCAGAGUCUGCAGCUUGUGUUCUUUUUUUGCUUUCCUGAGGGGAUGCAGCUUGUGUGCUGGCCGGAGUGUAUUGAACGGUUAUAAUGCAGCUACCGAACUAGGUAUGCCUAUUUGUGCUUAUGUGAUCUGCGGAAAUUUGCAUUCGUACUAUGAAUCGGCCAGCCUACCUACAACAUUCAGAUGUUGUAUCUGCUCGUUUGGAGAAUAGAGAUGUCUAUGGAACUUGGGAACAGUGUCUUGGGUUGGAGUGAACUGAUACUGCAAUAAAACGGCCUAUACAGCCUAUUAAGUAUGCAGUUGUCUUGCUGGGAGGUGAACAUAUCUAACUUUUGGAUGCCAAGUUUUACCUUUACCCAUGCUUGGGCUUAGAUAUGUCGUACCCAUGCUUCAGGUUCCCCUGAUUCAGGUUCAUUUUUGUGUACUGCUCCAUCCUAAGAAACCCGUCAAUUUCAUAUACAUUCUAACUGUAAUAUGUGGAAUAUCUCUACCAGACCUUGAUGUCAUUCUGGACAACGUAGGUAGAUCUUAUCUCCAAGGCAAUCUGGAUAGCUUAGCAGUUGAUGGUAGACUUUUCAUCGUUGGUUUCAUGUGAGGCACUGUAAUUAAAGUGAACCUGCAGGCGAUGCUUGCCCAAAGACCGACUGUACAAGCAUCUCGAACAAUGUAUCCAGAGAGAUGCUGCCACUGGUGAUACAUCUGUGCGAAGCCAGAUCCAGAAUGAGUCGACAGAGUUGGGAGUAGCGAUACAACAUCUGGAGGCUAUGCUUUUUGAGCUUGGACGGACAAUGAUGACGCUUAGAAUGGGGCCAUCUCCUGUAUGCAUUUUUCUACUAUGUCACUAUCACACAAGUGAUUCACAAGGUUUAAGUAUUCUGAUAGCUUUUUUAUUUUGUAGGCUAAUGCUUUUGUAAAUGCUAGGCAUGCUGUUUAUACAAACCCCACUGGACCAAGUCCAAUCAUGGUUCAGGCUACCUGUAUAGCUUUGCUUUCCUAUCAUGAACUGCUGUCAACUUUGUUUUGGGCUAUCAUGCUAGCAUGCACUGUAACAUGUAUCACUAUGUAUUAACAUGCUACCUAAGUAUCUAUUUCUUUAUACUUUAAGGAUCUUAUUAUCAGUCCUUAAACAAAUCUUACGUGCAUGAUUUGCAUGCUUGGUUUGUUGUCGCCCUUUGCACCAUCGGCGCAACGGGUGGUCAGCUGCUUUUUUAUGUGUGAGAAUGUCAGGAAUCUUUCUAUAUGUGCCCAGAUUUAUUUGGUGUGCCUGCUAUGUUUCACUUUCACUGCUCUUUGUAUAAAUUGAGAAAUUCUUGAUUCUUUUUAUGUUAUUUCUUUACAUGAAGGAUCCAGAUUAAAAUCUAAUGUGUUAUUCUUGCUGGCUUAGUUUAAACAAAUGCAUUUUAGAUCACCUACUUCUCAGUUCAUGCAUUUUGGAUCCAAAGCCUCCGUUAGAUUUUUGGAUGUGCUCUCUUAGGUAGGUUUUCUUUUCUCUUUCUUUCCUUCCUCUUGGGACUGUUAUUCUCUGUCUGUAUAUAUUUGCUUCGAUUGAAAUAAAGGACCAUGGGGCUUUUGCUCCAUGGUGGGUAGUGGAAAAAAAGUAACAUGUAUUUGGUUUAAACUGCUUGAAGUUAACAAGGACCAAGUAACAUACUAUGUGCUUGCUCUGUUUGGUCGUGGCAUAUGAAUCUGAUUAGAUCAUCGUAGUUGAAUAAUUAGAAACCUUGGGGAGGAAUAUGAUGUGUGUUUUUGUUUCAGUUACAGAGACUUGGUCUCGUGUUAUGCCUCAUAAGGUCGAGGCAUGUGUUACAGAGGCUAGGAAGAUUAUUUUGCUGUUGUUGAUUAGUUUUUUUUUGAUAAUGCAAAAACACCUAUGUACUAAUAACCUAUAUACUAAUGUACUAACAAUCGUUUCCUUCUUUUCCAUUGCAGUAAGUAGAAGUUAUAUUUUUUCCCUGACCAUUCCUUUCUUUUCCUAGGCCAGCGAUUUGCUUUCCGCUCAGAUUACGCUGUCUGCAGACUGCAGCCUCCUAUUUGUGACACCGUGGAACCUAAGGAUUUCCGGCGAUACGCAGUCAGUAGGAGGGGACGUUUUUAUCGAUGACGAGGUGCUUACGGUGACUUCAUAAUUUUCAAGAUGAUAUGUCGGCUCAGUCUUUCGGAGGUGUUCAUAGGGGUAGGGUGUGCGUGUGUGCGUUCAUAGGGAUGAGUAUAUGUAUGUGUAUAUGAGCGCUUGCGUCUGUACUGUGUUAAAAAAAACCUUUUGACCAUUUCCUUGUUUAAACCGAAGCAUCAAAAGUACAAUUUGUUUGUACCAUUGUAUACCACAUGAUGAACUCUAGAAAUAGAGUAUAAUAGAGUAUAAUGCUGAA